rnacentral:lncRNA from 1 species
GUGCAACAUGGUUAUGGGUACUACAGUGGAUGUGAGUGUGUAGACCUUGUACAAUAGAGCUUAUAGGCUAAUGAGAAGACAGGAAGAAACAACAGGAACACAUAUAGCUGGAAUGCAGAUGGGAUCUGUGCUACUUACGCUAGCCAUGGGAUGAUUAGAACAAGAUAAGAGACAUGAGGAAGACUUCUUCAAGGAGGUGCUCAAGCCAUGUUUUGGAAAAGAGAACUCAAGGUCUGGCAGGGAGAAAGGAGCAAGAGGAAAUAGAUGCGCUCUGGUAGCAAUUACCUCACUUCCUGCCACCGGCUCCUAUAAACCAACCUGCACCUCUGCGCCCAUCCUUUGCUCUUCCCAUCUGGCAAAAUGGAACUGAUGUCUCUCCUCCUACAAAGGUCAAGUCUCUUCUUAUGCCAUGGAUUCCAGCCUUCUUAGGAAAGGAAGACUGAAGAAACCUAAUCCUAGGUGCUGCCACUGGGACAAACAAGAAGCACCAGACACAGUGCUGUUUUAGGGUGGGGCAGAAUUAUGCUGAGGGAAAAGUUAUUAUCACUCUUUAAGGCCAAGGAAACCACAAUUUUUAAAGAAGCUUCUAGAAAUUCUACCCAGUAGAAAAUAAAGAUAAACUUCUGUAAGGAAUUUCAUUCUUUUCAGAAUUCGCAAUCUGAAAUGUAGAAGCCCAUUCCUUCAUGGUUCUCAUAGAUAUUUAGUGUGACUGAGGGGUCAGUGGACUCAUAGCACUCAGGCCAGGCUUCUCCUGAGUCCCUUUCUUUGGCACAGAGGGAGUGAUUCACAGAUCCUCUACCCCCAAAGGCAUUGUUUCCUCAUCUCAACAAGAAUCCAGCACCCGUCAUUUUAUCAGCACACGUCACUAGCUUCUCAAGUGAGACUACUCUGAAGUGAUCUGUGUUUGAAGAAUGCCUUUCCCUUUCCCUUACGUAACUAAGAGGAUGAAAAAGGACACUCACUCCCUAUAUGAAAGCUGUGUAUUGUAAGCAGUCAUCUUGCCUGGCUGAGAACUCUAGGAUCUUUUUCUCUGCUCUCCUUUAGGCUGACACUCAUAGCCAGACCUUCUGUUUAUUAGCCCCCUGAAUCUAUUUGAAAAUAUUUUUGCUUUCAUUAUAAUAUAAGUCACAUUCUUCUUGCAUCUGCCGCUGCAUUUUCCAAAAGGGUUAUGUCAAGGGAAAUUCAACACUCACUUUUCUCAUUAUUUGCUUACCAGCUUGCUCACUCAUCAAAAUACCAGAGUUAUUUGAUACUUCAGAAGAUUAUUUCCCCCUUUAGAUGAUGUGUCAAGGGAAGGGGAGCUGGCCCCAGUAUCAGGUGACAGAAUUUUCUUCGCAUUUCUACUGUUGACUCAAUAAAUGCCCUUGGGCAAGUCA